rnacentral:rRNA from 1 species
AUGCAAGUCGAGCGGACAGAUGGGAGCUUGCUCCCUGAUGUUAGCGGCGGACGGGUGAGUAACACGUGGGUAACCUGCCUGUAAGACUGGGAUAACUCCGGGAAACCGGGGCUAAUACCGGAUGGUUGUUUGAACCGCAUGGUUCAAACAUAAAAGGUGGCUUCGGCUACCACUUACAGAUGGACCCGCGGCGCAUUAGCUAGUUGGUGAGGUAACGGCUCACCAAGGCAACGAUGCGUAGCCGACCUGAGAGGGUGAUCGGCCACACUGGGACUGAGACACGGCCCAGACUCCUACGGGAGGCAGCAGUAGGGAAUCUUCCGCAAUGGACGAAAGUCUGACGGAGCAACGCCGCGUGAGUGAUGAAGGUUUUCGGAUCGUAAAGCUCUGUUGUUAGGGAAGAACAAGUACCGUUCGAAUAGGGCGGUACCUUGACGGUACCUAACCAGAAAGCCACGGCUAACUACGUGCCAGCAGCCGCGGUAAUACGUAGGUGGCAAGCGUUGUCCGGAAUUAUUGGGCGUAAAGGGCUCGCAGGCGGUUUCUUAAGUCUGAUGUGAAAGCCCCCGGCUCAACCGGGGAGGGUCAUUGGAAAACUGGGGAACUUGAGUGCAGAAGAGGAGAGU